rnacentral:misc_RNA from 1 species
UGAAACUUAAGCAAGCAGAGCCUCGGUGCUUAACUGCUUGCUUAAGCCAGCAUAGCCUUGUGCUUGUUCCAACUCAUAUACUGAACUCAGCUAAUUGCAACUCUUCUUCUUCUUCUUACUCAAAAUGGCCUUCUUCUUCUUUUAGAAUUAAACCAAACCCACUCGUUCUACUGGAAGCGGAGGUCUAGAUUUGGUUGAUUUGGUCUAGCUAUCGGAUGACAAAAGGAUGCCGACGUCUAUUGCAACAAUACCCCCUGGCUCUGUGUGAGUCUCUUCAACAACAUAUGGUGCAAACUUCAUGUCCUUGCAAUUGAAAUCUGGGUUUGUAGAAAAUCUGUCUGAUUUCUUCUUCUUCUCCUUGAUUUGCUUAAAUUAGUAUUCAUUACUGAUAUUAUUCACCCUUCUUUUGGCCUGCUUAUUGCAAAAUGUAAAUUUGCCUUUGCUUCUUUGGAUUUCCUGUAUGUAUAGAACAAUUUUGUAUUUUGAUGGUGAUAAAUGAUAAUUGACUACCAUCUGGAUUUGAUUCUGCGGAAGCUGCUGCUAGUAAUAGGUCAAAUCGAUGAAUCCCAUACUUUGGUAUUUUGAUUCGAAACCAAAACGACGGAUUACAAACCGCUAGAUAAUUCGCCAAGUUUGGGUUCAGUGGAAAUUGCUCUCUACUCUAAAUUAGCAAAGAGAAUUCCUUUUAAUAUUUUGUCUAAAAUUUGUUAUCUUAGUGGCAAUAUGGUUCCAUUCCAAAUGAUCUAUGUCAUCUGAGCAAUCUGGGUGAGUUAAGAAUGAGCAGAAACAGACUUUUAGGGUCAACACCAAGUUGCUUUGGGAAUCUUACCUCUCUAACAGCUUGAUAGCAAUAAUUUAACUUCAAGUAUACCCUUAAGGAGGACAUAUUGGUUUUUAACUUGUCAUCAAAUUCACUAGAUGGAAAGCUGCCAUCUGAUUUGGAAAUUUAGAGGUCAUCUAUCAAAUGGACUUGUCAAAGAAUCAUUUCUUUGGUGGUAUUAUUCCUAGUGAGAUCGGUGCUCUCCAACAGUUGAUAAUUUAUCUCUUUUUGGCACAUAAUAACUUCCAAGGACCUAUACCAGUUUCAAUUGGGAGCACCUGGAUCUCUCCAAUAACAUACUCUCUGCUGUGAUUCCCAAGAUUGUAAAUGGUCCUCUGCAAGGAAUUUCUCCUUCAAGUCUGUUGUAAGACAGACAUGGGAACAGCUCAAUCUUUUAUGCACAAUGUUGGACUCUGCGGAGCUCCUCAGCUAGGCUUCAAUAAGAUUU